rnacentral:snoRNA from 1 species
GAAUGAUGAGACACAAGCUGGCACCAGUCUGAGAAGACUUGUACUCUUUGCAUGCGGAUCAGCUGCAUAGACUCUUUGUAGUCGCCCACUGAC